rnacentral:rRNA from 1 species
GUGAGGUAAAAGCUCACCAAGGCUUCGAUCAGUAGCUGGUCUGAGAGGACGACCAGCCACACUGGAACUGAGACACGGUCCAGACUCCUACGGGAGGCAGCAGUGGGGAAUUUUGGACAAUGGGCGCAAGCCUGAUCCAGCAAUGCCGCGUGAGUGAAGAAGGCCUUCGGGUUGUAAAGCUCUUUUGUCAGGGAAGAAACGGUUCUGGGUAAUACCUGGGGCUAAUGACGGUACCUGAAGAAUAAGCACCGGCUAACUACGUGCCAGCAGCCGCGGUAAUACGUAGGGUGCAAGCGUUAAUCGGAAUUACUGGGCGUAAAGCGUGCGCAGGCGGUUGUGCAAGACAGAUGUGAAAUCCCCGGGCUCAACCUGGGAAUUGCAUUUGUGACUGCACGGCUAGAGUGUGUCAGAGGGGGGUAGAAUUCCACGUGUAGCAGUGAAAUGCGUAGAGAUGUGGAGGAAUACCGAUGGCGAAGGCAGCCCCCUGGGAUAACACUGACGCUCAUGCACGAAAGCGUGGGGAGCAAACAGGAUUAGAUACCCUGGUAGUCCACGCCCUAAACGAUGUCUACUAGUUGUCGGGUCUUAAUUGACUUGGUAACGCAGCUAACGCGUGAAGUAGACCGCCUGGGGAGUACGGUCGCAAGAUUAAAACUCAAAGGAAUUGACGGGGACCCGCACAAGCGGUGGAUGAUGUGGAUUAAUUCGAUGCAACGCGAAAAACCUUACCUACCCUUGACAUGUCUGGAAUCCCUGAGAGAUUAGGGAGUGCUCGAAAGAGAAUCAGAACACAGGUGCUGCAUGGCUGUCGUCAGCUCGUGUCGUGAGAUGUUGGGUUAAGUCCCGCAACGAGCGCAACCCUUGUCAUUAGUUGCUACGAAAGGGCACUCUAAUGAGACUGCCGGUGACAAACCGGAGGAAGGUGGGGAUGACGUCAAGUCCUCAUGGCCCUUAUGGGUAGGGCUUCACACGUCAUACAAUGGUACAUACAGAGGGCCGCCAACCCGCGAGGGGGAGCUAAUCCCAGAAAGUGUAUCGUAGUCCGGAUUGGAGUCUGCAACUCGACUCCAUGAAGUUGGAAUCGCUAGUAAUCGCGGAUCAGCAUGUCGCGGUGAAUACGUUCCCGGGUCUUGUACACACCGCCCGUCACACCAUGGGAGCGGGUUUCACCAGAAGUGGGUAGCCUAACCGCAAGGAGGGCGCUCACCACGGUGGGAUUCGUGACUGGGGUGAAGUCGUAACAAGGUA